GACGAACGCUGGCGGCGUGCUUAACACAUGCAAGUCGAACGAAGUGGCGAACGGGUGAGUAACGCGUAAUCAACCUGCCCUUCAGAGGGGGACAACAGUUGGUACCGACUGCUAAUACCGCAUACUGAAGUAGGGGAUUGCGUCUGAUUAGCUAGUUGGAGGGGUGAGGGCCCACCAAGGCGAUGAUCAGUAGCCGGUCUGAGAGGAUGAACGGCCACAAUUGGACUGAGACACGGCCCAGACUCCUACGGGAGGCAGCAGUGGGGAAUCGUCCGAAAUGGAGGAAAGUCUGACGGAGCAACGCCGCGUGAGUGAUGACGGCCUUCGGGUUGUAAAGCUCUGUUAAUCGGGACGCGGUACCGGAAUAGAAAGCCACGGCUAACUACGUGCCAGCAGCCGCGGUAAUUC
rnacentral:rRNA from 1 species